UUCAAGGCUGUGGUGUGGGCGGGAGUCAAGGCUGUGACGUUCCGGAACUGAUGGCGUAGUGGGAGGAGCCAGAGAAAAUUAGCAGAGGCUACAGGGACUGGAAAACUCAGGGAUCCCGACUAACCCCAUGCAGCUAGAGUGAACGGCAGACGGGGAGCCCAGACCGAGGGGGAGCCCAGAUCGGGUCCCAGCCAGGCAACCAGGACGUGAAAGCUCACCCGAGCCACGAGAGUCACGUGGGACGGACUGCAAAACUCACCCCGGUCAGAGCAUCGCGGUGGCGGGAACCACAGGCCGGGGUCUGGAAAACUAGCAGUGAUGUGACUGUGGACUUUCCCUGGAGAAGGAGGAAUACUUAGACCCUGCCCAGAGAGCUUUGUACAAAAACCUGCUGAUAGAGAACUACAGCAGUCUGGUUUCUGGCACAGCACUGUAUUUGAUGGUCUGUUGACAUUCAGGGAUGUGGCUGUGGACUUCUCCCAGGAGGAGUGGGAAUACCUGGACUCUAUUCAGAGGGCUUUGUACAUUGAUGUGAUGAUGGAGAAUUACAGCAAUCUGGUCUCUGUGGGAUUGGAGAGAAGAAUCAGUGUUAUGAGUAUUUAUUGCUGUUCUGGAAGACUGGGGUUCAAGUCUCAGCCCCAAAUUGUGGAUAAUGAUCACAACCUCCUAUCACUCCAGUUCCAGGGGAUCUGACACUACUCUUCAUGCCUCUGCUGGCACUGCAAAAUGUGAUGCACAUCCUUGCAGUCAGAACACUCAGAAAGUAAAUCUAUUUUUUAAAGUUUCUAUGUGAUAAUGGAGGAGCCAUUUGAUGAAAUUAGAACAUGGAAGCUCUUCCUUGCAAAUCUUUUUUUUUGGGGGGGGGACCCACUUUAAUGAGAGUUGCUUGCUGAGAAUGGCAAGCAAUUGUAGCCUCAUCAGAGACUACAAUCUGUUUUUUAAAGUGACACCACCUACAACUAGCAUGCAUUAACUUCCAGUAGACACCUAGGGAAGGGUGAUAGCCUCAUGGGUCCCUACUGCCAUGUAAAAUAUUGAUGGACCUUGUAUUGUGAAGCCUUGUGCAGAUGAUCACAUCAGCAGUGAGUCCAUGAGUACAACAACACUGUCAUGUCCGGAUGAUUUUUUUUAGUAUACUCCUUCCCAACUUCUGGCUCUGGCUUUUCUAGUCUUUAACUUCUGUCUUUCACAAUAUCCUCUGAACUUUAGAAGGGGCAGUUCAGUGGUUGCACCUAGCACAGAGUCUUCUAGCAUCAUUUAUUCUCUUCAGGUUUUCCAGUUUGGAGUUUCUGCACUACCAUGUGUCUACUGAAAUGAGAAGCAUCUCUGAUGAAGGUUAAUCAUAACACUGUAAUAUAAAAAUGAAAAUUUAAGAGAAUGGUUGACACAUGAUUUUGAGAAAAAUAGCUGUACUGUGUCCCACUAACACCCAUGAAAUUCCAUGCACCAUAUUCUUAACCAUGCUUACAAAAUCAUGCAUGAGUUUUCUCUGUGAAGGGAGCCUGAAAUUCAAUCAGAAAAGUGGUUCAUCACUGUAUUAGUUAAUGGUGGGGAAGCAUGGUAGCAAACAGACAUGUCAGCUGGGGUAGGAGAUAUGACACCUUCAACAGCACGCAAUGGAAAGAAGUGUAAGUUACUCAAGCCUCCUCCCCUUUAAAGCUUUCCCCUAAUGAUGCACUUUCUCCAGUAACCUGCACUACCUGAGCCUCUCAAAACAGUGCCACCAACUGGGGACUACAUGUUCAAAUGCAUGAGCCUAUAGGGGACAAUCUCAUUUAAGCCAGUGUAGGGAAAAGGGGCUGGCUAAAGAAACCCACCCUGACCCUGGAGCCCAGAACUAGGGAAAGAUGGCUCAAAUCAGGGAAGAAAGAAAUAUAGUUUGGCUCAGUAAGAUCAGAGCCAUCUUUGCUUCUGGCCAACUGACUUGUGAAACCAACCCAUCACAGAGCAGGAUAGUGGAACCCUGGGCCUGGGGUUGACUCCACCGCUAAGACUUCCUGUGUAAACCUGAUCAGCCUAGUCAGUUAGAAAGAAGGUUGUUCUCUCCACCCUGGUAGAAGCAGCUACUCUCCUGGACUCCCUUCCCAAAUAAAUCUCCUCCUCAAAAGAGUUUUUUGUGUGUGUGUGUGAAGGUCUUCAUUCACUGGCGUAGAGAAGAUCCUGAGACAUUCCCAGUGGACAAGAGAGAGAGAGAGCUGAAAGAGCAGGGUAAGGAGGAGCUGAACAGAAGAUCUUUGCUGAGACAUCUCUCAGUGGACAGAGAGAACUAUAAAUAACACUUUUCUCCAGAGCUGGAGGAGAUUGCUCCAUUUCUGCAGGGGUUUCCCCUUUCACAGAGUGAAGCAAAAGAAGCAACAUCUUAGGCUGGAGAAGCAGAGCUCUGAUAGGAAGCCCCCUUAAGUGGGGGCUGAGCAAAGCUCAGCUGUAGAGGCUCUCCAGGGGAGGAGCAGGAUUGCUAUAUCCUGCGGGGAGACCAUCCCCCAUCAUACCAGUUAUACCUUGAGUCAGGAUACUCUUCCCUGCUGAACCAGUUCCAGGCCUGACUCUUCCAAGAAGGCAGAAAAAAAAAAUUUCCCUUCCAGGGUUGGGCUGUUUCUUUGCAGUCCCAGCUGUCAGAGCUGUCCUAAACAGCUUUAGGUGUCCGGGAAACUACAGGGCAGAGCUGUUGUUCAAGAUACCUUGCCCUCCAGGGCUGAACUGUCUCCUUGCAGUUUCAGUAAUCACAGCUGUGCUACACAGCUCCAGGUGUCCAGGACACCUUCAGGGCAGAGCUGUUGUUCUGAGCAGCUUGAGGUGUCCAGGAUACCUCACCCUUCAGGGUUGAACUAUCUCCUUGCAGUUUCAGCCAUCAUAGCUGUGCUUCAUAGCAGAAGGUGUUGCCUGACUCCCCAGGUAGUCAGGACCCCAAACCCACAGAGAUGCAAAACUUGCAAAACUCACAUUCUGCAACCAAUUUACCAACAUUUUUGGUGAAGAAACCCGAGACACGAAACCCAGAGUUUUUGCACUCAGGUUACUAACACUUUUGGUGCAAUUUACUAACACCAAACCCACAGAGUUGCAAAACAUGCAGUUUACAUACAGCCAGCACUACCAUUGUAGGGAGGAUUUUUAAAGCUUGAAAGACAGAACUUAGAGAGGUUUUGCUGUCUUAAGAGGUUUGUUGUUUUCCCUUAGAACUAAUCACAGGUGGUCCCCAUACUAAUAUCUUCAGGUGGUUCUAAUUUGUCCUUCUGAGAGAGAGUUCUGAAAGGCUUUAGUUAAGUUUUUUAAGAAAAGCUUUUUAGUUUAAGAGAAAGAUUUUUCCCCAAAACUUUAAACUUUUUGGCUUUUUACACUCCCAUUUUUUGCCUCAGGGAGAAAUCACUUUCUUCUGCUGCUUGGACUUAGCAUGUCAGCUGUCCCCAGGUCAAAAGCUUCCAUAGGAAACUUUUUCUUCCCCAUAAGCUCAGAGAAGAACUUUUUUACUACCUGUAAAGCCCAAAGAAAGAUUUUUUCCCCUAGUUUGCAUUCAAAGCCCCUAAAGUUAGAAAAUUGAAGAGUUUUUCUGUCUAGUUGCCUUAUUUUUUUCUACACGAUCUUACACUUCUAAGUUUUUCCUAUACUAUAUUACUACCCUAUACCUUAUACUUAUUUUUCACAGAUAGAAAUUUAGAAAGGGAUAGAAGAUAGAAAAUUUUGACAGAAGAGAAUUUUGCACUGCAGCAUCAGACAUCUUUCCAGUCUGCUUUCCUUUUCUCUCGAGGAUAAAACCCCUGCCCCUCAAUAAUAUGUAUAUAAAAUAUGUAUUUUCCAUAACACUGGCAUGCCUUUCCACUGGCAAGGCUGACUCAGCACUUUCGCCAAAAACUCUGUAACAAAACUAUUAUUUUCCUUUAUCUUUAGUCCCUAUUACUUUGUCUUUAGCCCCUGUUCAUUUGUCUUAGUACCCCCUUUUUUUCAGUCCCCCCUUUUUUUCUUUAGUCCCUAUAUAUUUUUCUUUUUUCUUUAGCCCCUGUUCAUGGUGCCAUUCUGUGGGGCAUUUACCCACCAACCCCACAGCUCCCCAGAGUUUUCUUGAGUGUGAGCAGCAGGAAAUAUUAGAUAGAAGGAUUUAUAUUGUGGAGAUAAACAGAUAGAAAAUAAAGGAUAGCCUCAAGAGGGCCUGGAACCUAUUCCAAUGGCCCCCAACUGUCUCUGACCCAGGGUAUUUAUAGAGAUGCCAAGGGGUGGAGCAAAAGACCUCCUCCCCCAGCACAGCCAAGUGCAGACCAUCUCAGACACCUGCACUCAGGCCCGUGGUCCUAAUCAUCCUCUAUGAGGACAUGCUGGGUAAAUCCACGAGGAACCCGAAAACGGGCUCCCACAACAAUCAUCUCCCUGAUUAUCCACAGAAUUGUGGUUGCUCAUAUGAUUGAGAUCUACACUUGAUUACAUAUACAUAUUUAAGAAAAUGCAUGGUAAUGAGGACAUAUCACAGCUGUUAUUGCUCAUGAAAUUACAGAUGGAAGCGAGAGUAUUCAGAGUCAGUGGCCUGCAAGCCCUGCUUGACAGGGUACUCCAUCUAGAAUAAUUUGUCUGGUGGGUUGAUAUCUGAAUUAUCAAUUGCUAUAAGCUUAUUUGCAUCCUGGCCCACAAUAGCUUGUGACAAUGGCUCCUGACAGGUGGCAAUUUCUACAGUGUCCCAUGCCUAUCCACAAAAUCAUUAUUCAAGACAAUGUGUGAACAGACUGCAAACUCAGAGAGCCACCUGCCUUUGCCUUCUUAGAAACAGAGUAAUUUUAAAGAAAAUAUUGAAUGGCAUUUUAUAAUAUUGAUUAAACACCUAUAAAUUAUACAUUCAAAUCAUAAUUCCAUCUAAAAAUUGCUAUAAUUUUAUAAAGACUGUAAUAAACAAACUAUAUCUACCAGGAGAAAUAUUAUAGAAGUUACUUUAGGCUUAAUUAUUCUGGAAAAAUUUAAUUCCAGAAAAUCCAUCUAGCAUAUAAUCAAAUGAUAGAGGAUCAGAACACCAUUAGCUUUCCUUCCCUUUAUGUAGAAACAUUUUGGAAGCAUAAAAUUCUCUAAUCAGGAAACACUUUCUUUGGAUAUUUUCCAUGUUAAAUCAUAAAACACAUUUCAUUUUGUAUGUUAAAAAUGUUUAAAAUCCCUCAUAUAUAAUCCCUUAUUUACAUCAUUUCUUAUGUAUAUAAAUGUUUUGUCUGCAUGUAUGUACAAACACCAUUUACAUGUAUUCUCUGCAGAGGCCAGAAAUGGUCAUCAGAACACCAGAAGGUGGAGUUAUAGGAGGUUAUUUAUUAUUUAUUCACUGUGGUAGGAGGGAAUGGAACCCAGAUCCUCUGAAAGAAUAGCAAGUCCUCUCUAACACUGAACUACCUCUUCAGCCCUGUUUAAGUAUGUUAAAAAUAACACUUGUUGAAAACAUAUAUUACAAUGCUGAAGAAAGAAUCAUGGUGAUCAGAGAAAUAAUCAUUUACAAAUAUGGAGAAGAAAUUUUUUCCAUAUUUGAUUUGGUGAACAUGGUGAAAUAUAGUCAUGUCAUUUAUAAGUAUUCAUUAAUACUAAAUACAGUGGGUAUUUUUUGACCUAGUGAAUAGCUUGUAAAGUUCUCAAAUAUCCAGAAUUUCUUUUCCUAGUUUUUUGUAAUUUUUAAAUUUUACUUGUGAGAGUAUAAUAUAAUCACUGUGUAGGUCUCUGAUAACACUAUGGCCAGCAGAGUAACAAUCCACAUUAGGGAAGGAGGAAAUCCAGUUCAACACAACUCAGUACCUUGUGAUGAUUCAAACUCUUACAGUCUGACAGUAAGUUGUUUAUUUUAAGCAUAUUUAAGCACAAUAAAAUUUGGGAAAAUGUUUCAUGAUAUAACAAAAUCUGUGCACAUGGAGACAAAAAUUACACCAAACUUUUCAAAGUACAUGUCACUUCUUCUGUGAAGAUGGGUUCUACAGAUAGGCUACAUGGGCUUUCUUAAUGGUCUAGGGAAGAAUCUUAUAUAGUCUUCAUCAUACAGAUGGCAUAGAAAUCAUCUGGGAUAUUAUCUACCUCCAGGACUGAUUAUGGGAGCUUGGGAAAGCCCUUGACCAUAAUUAAGUGCAAAGGUAACCUAGACUAUUAAGUUUAUCCAGUCCUACAACUCACAGUUCCAGAGAAGCUAGGAAACAAGGAGGACCCUAAGAGGCACAUACGGAUCACCUUGGGAGGUGGAAACAGAGGAGAUCUCCAUGAGUAAACUGGGAAUGGGGUGGAGCAAUAGAAAGGAGGGGAUGGGGGAUGAGAACAUGAGGGAACAGGAUGGUUGAGCUGGAGCAGGGAUGGAGUGGGAGAGCAAUGAAAGAGAUAUCUUGAUAGAUGGAGACAUUAUGGAGUAAGGGAAAAACCUGGUGCUGGGAAACUCCCAGGAAUCCACCAGGAUGAACCCAGAUUAGUCUACUACCAUUAGUGUUGAGGGUGCCUGAACUAGCCUGUCCCAGAAAUCAAAUUGGUGAAUACACUAACUGUCAUCACAGACCUUCAUCUAGUAAUUGAUGGAAGCAGAUGCAGAUCCACAACCAAGCACCAGUCGGAGCUCUGGAAGUCCAGUCAAAGAAAGGGAAGAGGGAUUAUAUGAGCAAGGGGGAUCAAGAUCACGAUGGGGAAAUCUACAGAGACAACUGAACCAAGCUCAUAGGAAUUCUUGCACUUUAGACCUACAGUUGUGGAACCUGCAUGGGAGCAGAUAGACCCUCUGCAUAUGGGAGACAGUUGUGAAGCAGAGUCUGUUUGAGGGGCCCCUGGCAGUGGGUCAGGGUCUAUCCCUGGUGCAUGAGCCGGCUUUUUGGAUCCCAUUACCUAUGGUGGGACACCUUGCUCACCAUUCAUGUACUGGGGAGGGGCUUGGUCCUGCCUCAACUGAAUGUACCAGUCUUAUCUGUCCCCCCGUUGGGAGAACUUACUCUUUGGGAGGAGGGGAUGAGGAGUGGGUUGGAAGGGAGAAGGUGGUGGGGGAGCAGGAGGAGGGAUGAGAGGGAUGAGAGAGGGAUCUGUGGUUGGUGUGCAAAAUAAAUUUUAAACUUUAAAUAAUAAAUAAAUAAAAGUUUAUCCAGUCCUGCUUGUGGGAGCCUGCUAUGGUCUGGCUAUAGAAAUAGUGCAAGGCACAUUACAUUUGUAAGGUUUAUCUCCAGUACAUAUUCUUUUAUAAACUUGAAUUGUUGAGCUAUCAGUAAAAGAUUUUCCACACACAUUACAUUUGUAAGGUUUUCCUCCAGUGUGGACCCUCUGAUGAACUUGAAAAUUUGAGGCAUUGUUAAAUGACUUGACACAUUCUUUACAUUUAUAAGAUUUCUCUGCAGUGUGGAUCCUCUGAUGAAUAUGAAGUGUUGAACUCAGAGUAAAAGACUUGCCACAUGUUUCACAUAUGAAAGGUUUUUCUCCUGAAUCAUUUCUCUGAGGAAGAUGAAGAGAAAACCCACGGGCAUAGGACUUGCCAUACUCUGUACAUUUGAAAGCAUUCUCUUCAGUGUGAAUUUUACAAUGAGCUCUAUAUUUUGAUUCAUCUGAAUGGAACAUGUCAUGCUCUGGACAUUUGUAUGAUUCUUUUGUCAUAUGGAUUUUAUAAUGCUCCUUAAGUACUGAUAAUGCAGAAAACAACUUUCCACAUAUUUUACAUUUGCACAUUUUUUUUCUAGUAAGAACCACAUUAAUUCUAAAAAAAUCUGAGCAUCUCCUGUAACUCCUCCCAAAUUUCUUAUAAUUUUGUCCAACACUGAAUCUUGGAUUCCCCUCAAAUUUUGGUGCGUGGAUGAAAUACUGUCUACAUGCUUUGAAUUUUGGUUGUUUCCCUUCAGUGUGGCUUGAGUCAUUUUGAAUAAUUGAAUGGAAAUUGCAGGAUCUUAAUGGAAAUGAUGCAGAGUGGGCUUUUUGAAAAGUUGGAACUUCUUCAUCUAUUCUGUCAGGAAUGUCAGUGACAGGUACUACAAAAAGAUCAUUUCCACAAAAAAAAAAGAAAGAAAGAAAAAAGAAAUAGUGCAAGGAUCCCCUAGGCUAUGUACCUCCAGUCCCAGCCUUCUGGGCAGAAAAGAAGUUAUAUAUCUUUUCCCUUGAAAAGACAACCAUACUUGUUUAAAUUUUCUGGUUCUCCUAGUGCUGUCCAUGAGAACAAGUGCCUUUGCUUUCCCUCCAAAUUACAACAUUUCUAUCUUCACUUUCCUCCCUCCAAACUCUUCUAUAUAACCCCAAACCCUGUUCCUCAAAUGGAAAGCCUUUUUUUUACUAAUUGUUAUUUCAUGAAUAUAUGUACCUGUGUACACAUAAAUAUUCCCAGAUAAAAUUGUCUCAAUCCAUAAAAUGUUACUUGCAUAUCUGUUUUAAGGCUAUCCAUUUGGUACUAGACAACAAAUUGCUGUGCUCUUCUCUGGGGAAGACUGUCUCUCCCACUCUCUGCUAAUAGUCCUUUGUAUAAGGUUGUGGCCUUGUAGGCUUUUCUUUGUCCAAUUUGGCAAGCACAUUGGUUUCAUAUGUCUACCUCACAUUGAUUUAAACCAAAAUGAUUAAAAUUUGUGUAAAAUUUAUUUCUACUAGGAUUAUCACUCAUGGAACAGCUGACAUUAAUGAUUCUCUGUGAGUAAAGAAUAGAUUUUCACUGCAAAAAAAUAUAAAAAUUUACUCAAAUAUUUAACAAUUUAUUGGUUAGACACAGAAGGAAUAUAUUGAAGAUAACAAGCUGCAAUAUAUGUGCAAUCUCAAAAAGUAUCAAGGCAUUAAUGUUUAUAUUGAAUAUUACAUAAACAUCACAUUACACUAACAAUAGUAUCACACUACACUAAAAUAUGUAAAAUCUCAAAUAGUGUUAACUUUUGAUGGUUCUUUAACAGUAUCCCAACAUAUGGUCAGAAAAAAUGUUACUGUUUAAGUCAUUUCUAGUAGGAAAUUAUAAUAAUUAGUAACAUUUAGUGUUUGAAAAAUAACUCUAUAUCAUUGUUUCAUAAAUAAUUCAUUUUCCAACAAAUUUUUAUGACUAUAAAUUACCUCUCUGGAUGGAAUGUUUAAAAUUUAUAACAAAUGUAGAGCAUCCUAAAGAGGCUUCCCAUAUACUGACUAUGGUUUGAAAAUUAAUUGAUGGCUUUGAAAAUGUGUAAGAAGCUGGUCCCUCUAUAAAGACUGGUACAGUGAAUUAUCGUGAGAUAGUCUAAUAACAUUUACAAAGCUUUCUCCAUUAUGUGAAUUUUCUGAUGCUUUUUAAUACUUGAGCAUCUGGUUAAGGAUUUCUGACAUUUUUUACAUUUGUAUGGUUUGUCAUGAUAUGGAUUCAGUGAUGAGAGUAAAGACUUGAGAAAUGGGUAAAGGACUUGCCUCAUUCUUUACAUCUGUAAGGUUUAUCACCAGAGUGGACUCUGUGGUGAGCUUGAAGAUUUGAAUGAUGGACAAAGGACUUGCUACAUUCUUGACGUGUAGUGUUUGUCUCUGGUAUGGAUUCUAUGAUGAGAAUGAAGAUAUGAGACCUGGGAAAGGAAAAUUCCACAUACUUUAUAUUUCUAAGGUUUCACUUUUGUAUGAAUUCUGUGGUGAGCUUGAAGACUUGAGUCCUUAGCACUUGAAGACUUAGCACAUUCUUCACAUCUGUAAGGUUUGUCACCUUUACGAAUUCUGUGAUAAGUGUGAAGAUUUAAUAAAUGGACUUGCCACAUUCUUUACAUCUAUAAGGUUUGUCACCAGUGUGGAUUCUGUGAUGAACUUGAAGAGUUGAGUGAUGGGUAAAGGAUUUGCCACAUUCCUUACAUCUGUAAGGUUUGUCACCAGUAUGAGUUCUGUGGUGAGCUUGAAGACUUGAGACCUGAGUAAAGGAUCUGCCACAUUCUUUACAACUGUAAGGUUUGUCACCAGUAUGGAUUCUGUGGUGAGCUUGAAGAGUUGAGUGAUGGGCAAAGGACUUGCCACAUUCUUUACAUUUGUAAAGUUUCUCUCCUAUAUAGACUCUCUGGUGUCUCCUAAAGUUUGAGUAGUUCUGGAGACAUUUUCCACAUUCUUCACAUGUGUAGGAUUUCCUGAAUUUUAUUUUACAUUUCUCAUAUUUGUUGGAGUUCAUCAAAGGAUGGAUUUGAUGUUAUGUUCUAUGAAGUGAAAACUCUGUAAUGGCCUCAUCACUUUGUUGUGUUUGUAUGCCUUUUCUCUGGGAUCAAUUAUCUUUUGAUCAGUGAGGCAUGAACAUUCAUUGAUGCACUUUCCACAUUCUUUAUAGAGAAUUCUUUCUCUUCAGUAUGAAGUAUCUUAUAUCUUAAGAGGUAUGUAGAUUUCCUAAAGCAUUUUUUACAUAAAUUACAUUUCAUUGGUUUCUCUCCAGCAUGGAAUAUUAGAUAACCUAGAUUUAAAGGAGAGGAAAAAGAUUUACCAUAGUUUUUUUAUUUCUGGGUCCUCUCUUCCAUGUUCCUUGAAUGAUUCUGAAUAAGGCUUGAACACAGAUGGAAGGAUUGAUCACAUUCUUGACUAUGUCUGUAGGAAGUUUCUAUUAAUAGUUCUUCUGAAUGUAACAGUUUGAGCAUCCAUCAAAUGCUCUGUCAUGUUUAUAGCUUAUAUAAAGCUACUCUUGGGUCUGGUCAGACUGGUACCUAAAAAAGUCUUUGUUAUAAUCAAAAUUCCCUUUACAGUUAUUGUUUUUCAAAUGACCCUCAGGGAAAAAAACUCCUUUAUCCUGUGUAUUAGUAAGUAUUAAGUCCUGCAUAAAGACAUACCCUGAGGCAUUGUCUUGAGAAGUUGACCCAAUAAGAUAAGAGUUCUGGUACUAUUCUUCACAGAGCUCUCUGCAAAAGCUUUAAUAACAUCACUAGAUGUUGUAAGACUUUUCACAACAAGAAAGACUAUGAUACCUUUCAGCCACAUGUGAUUGAGACAAGCCUUCUCAUUGUAGAUCUAAAUUGAAUAACUUGUCACAAAAUGGAAUUACUUGUUGAGGGAACUCGAGUCAAUGUUUAGUAGAAUAUGUGUCAUUCUGAUUACACAGAGAAAAGAGUUCUUUACUUGUGGCUCUCUUUUUCUCAAAAACUGCUAAAAGUACAGUUUAAACUCACAGUACAUCAAAAAUAUUUUGAAGAAUUAACUGUAUUGUACCAUGUGUCACUUCUCAGAGUUUUCAAAUUACUGUGUAUAAUUAAAACAUGUUUUAAAACUGUAUGUAAAUGGUUCACUACUAAAAAAAUCUGCUUGUGAAAAUGUAAAACCUAUCUUCCCCACAUACCUGGAACAUCCUUAAACAAAAGGUAUUCAGGUCACUACUUCUAAAUACUCCUGACAUCACUUUCUGUAUAGAAUUUUGUAUGUUCUGUGAAAUUAUGUAUUGAGUAUAAUGGAAACACAGAUAUGGAAGAAGGAAAAAUAUAUAAUUGUCUGAAUUAGCCAACUUGGGUUGAGUUUUUUGGAAUAUAAGACAUAAUAUAAAAUUUUACAAAUAUGUAGACACAUAUGCAAGAUGGCAUACUUAAAAACUUCAGAUCUUUUGUUCUUAAAAUAUCUUCUUAUGUCAGUAGAUAGAUGUUUCACAAAUUUAUGAAAUAACUUAUUAAAAAUGUAUUGACAUUAAUUAUGUUAAGGUAGACAUUUCAAAUAAUUUUUUCAGAAUAGGCACACACCUUUAAUCUCAGCACUUGAGAGGCAUAAGGCAGGAAAAAUUGCUGUGAGUUCAAGGCCAAUCUGAUCUACAGAGCAAGUUUCAGGACAGCCAGGACUGCACAGAGAAACCCUGUCUCAAAAAAAUCAGAGUAAUAAAUACAACUGUGAGGUGUUUGAACGAGAUGCCCCAAUUCUGGGAGCCCACAGUGACUCAGUUUCCUACAGUUACUCAGCUUGAAGCUAAAGUCCAUUUUGACUCAAAAGAGUUCAAAGCUUACUUGCUCUAGUCUCUUCAGAAGCUGUGAGGAAGCUCUGAUAAGGCUCCUGGGAAAAGUAAAGGGGCUGUGAGACAGUUCUGAUUAGCUUUGUGGGAAAGAACUAAUUAUUUAGCAAAUGCUCAAUUCCAGGCAGACUGCUGAAGUUAGCAGGUGGCAUAUGUUUGAGACAAUGAAACUACCUGUUCUUGAUUCAAGGACGGGCUGGACCGCCUGUGCUAUGCUUUGUUCUGCUGUUGCUUUUCAGUUUUGUACAUAAGAUGGCUGUGAAAUAAACUCAGGGCUUUUCUGGUACUGACCAGAAGCCCUCCCAGCACUGA